rnacentral:rRNA from 1 species
GGGCUCACACAAGCGGUGGAGGAUGUGGUUUAAUUCGAAGCAACGCGCAGAACCUUACCAACCCUUGACAUCCCGGGACCGGUCCAGAGAUGGGCCUUCCACUUCGGUGGCUCGGUGACAGGUGCUGCAUGGCUGUCGUCAGCUCGUGUCGUGAGAUGUUCGGUUAAGUCCGGCAACGAGCGCAACCCACAUCCUCAGUUACCAGCGGUUAGGCCGGGGACUCUGGGGAAACUGCCCGUGAUAAGCGGGAGGAAGGUGUGGAUGACGUCAAGUCCUCAUGGCCCUUACGGGUUGGGCUACACACGUGCUACAAUGGCAGUGACAAUGGGUUAAUCCCCAAAAACUGUCUCAGUUCGGAUUGGGGUCUGCAACUCGACCCCAUGAAGUCGGAAUCGCUAGUAA